GUGCCAGCCGCCGCGGUAAUACGGGGGGGGCAAGCGUUGUUCGGAAUUACUGGGCGUAAAGGGCUCGUAGGCGGCCGCACAAGUCCGACGUGAAAUCCCUCGGCUCAACCGAGGAACUGCGUCGGAAACUAGGUGGCUUGAAUCCAAGAGAGGGAUGCGGAAUUCCAGGUGUAGCGGUGAAAUGCGUAGAUAUCUGGAGGAACACCGGUGGCGAAGGCGGCAUCCUGGAUUGGCAUUGACGCUGAGAGAGCGAAAGCCAGGGGAGCAAACGGGAUUAGAAACCCCCGUAGUCC
rnacentral:rRNA from 1 species